rnacentral:rRNA from 1 species
CCGUGGCACGAGACGACGCUGGCGGCGUGCCUAAUACAUGCAAGUCGAGCGGACCGAACGAGAGCUUGCUCUUGUUUGGUCAGCGGCGGACGGGUGAGUAACACGUGGGCAACCUGACCCGCAAGACCGGGAUAACUCCGGGAAACCGGAGCUAAUACCGGAUAACACCAAAGACCGCAUGGUCUUUGGUUGAAAGGCGGCUUCGGCUGCCACUUGCGGAUGGGCCCGCGGCGCAUUAGCUAGUUGGUGAGGUAACGGCUCACCAAGGCGACGAUGCGUAGCCGGCCUGAGAGGGUGACCGGCCACACUGGGACUGAGACACGGCCCAGACUCCUACGGGAGGCAGCAGUAGGGAAUCUUCCGCAAUGGACGAAAGUCUGACGGAGCGACGCCGCGUGAGCGAAGAAGGCCUUCGGGUCGUAAAGCUCUGUUGUGAGGGACGAAGGAGCGCUGUUUGAAUAAGGCGGCGCGGUGACGGUACCUCACGAGAAAGCCCCGGCUAACUACGUG